rnacentral:ncRNA from 1 species
UUAUAUCGUCACGGGAGCUUGGUGGGACCAGGCUGAGAGGAUAGUUAUAACUAUCGACCGUCAAACCUGAUCUGGAUAAUGCCAGCGGAGGAAAUGGAGUUUUAUUUCUA